UAUCUAUUUUAAGCGCAGAUGAAUGAAAAGGGGAGUUCCUAUUUAUCUGACUGCUUGAAUUUGUCGAUGAAAACCAUGUGUAGCAAUAUAAAA